rnacentral:rRNA from 1 species
CAGGCCGCGGUAAUACGGAGGGUGCAAGCGUUGUCCGGAUUUAUUGGGUUUAAAGGGUGCGUAGGCGGCUAUUUAAGUCAGCGGUGAAAGACUCCGGCUCAACCGGAGCAGUGCCAUUGAUACUGGAUAGCUUGAGUGUUAGAGGGGUACAUGGAAUUGAUGGUGUAGCGGUGAAAUGCAUAGAUACCAUCAGGAACACCGAUAGCGAAGGCAUUGUACUGGCCAACAACUGACGCUGAGGCACGAAAGCAUGGGGAGCGAACAGGAUUAGAUACCCGUGUAGUCCCUGUCUCUUAUACAC